UACGGAGGGUGCAAGCGUUAUCCGGAUUCACUGGGUUUAAAGGGUGCGUAGGUGGGUCUGUAAGUCCGUGGUGAAAUCUCCAAGCUUAACUUGGAAACUGCCAUGGAUACUAUAGGUCUUGAAUACCGUGGAGGUGAGCGGAAUAUGUCAUGUAGCGGUGAAAUGCUUAGAUAUGACAUAGAACACCAAUUGCGAAGGCAGCUCACUACACGAAUAUUGACACUGAGGUGCGAAAGCGUGGGGAGCAAACAGG
rnacentral:rRNA from 1 species